GGCAGAUUUCAUCACAUCUAACUUUCUCUAAGGCUGGAAGGUUCCAUUGCAUGUGCAGCUGCACAAGGAAAUUUCAGUCUAGGUCUUCCUCUGACACUUCCUUGAACUUGUUUACUCACUUUUAAGUACACAGUUCCCAGAAUUUCAUUGCUAUGCACUGUAUCAGGUCUUAAGUGCUGGUAGAAUUGGUCCACCUUGCAUCCCCAAAGCCAACAUCUUUAAAGUCCCAGGUUACUUGGAAAUUUGCCUUUAACAAAUUAAUUUAUUCCAUUUAAAGACACUCAAAGUUCUAUGAAUUGAUUCGUAUUCGCAUGGGGAAAAAUCAGCCUGAUAACCCAUCGAGAUUUUCCCACUGCUGGGUUUCAUGACUUAACCUUUGGAUUCGAUAUAAAUUAUCAAUUGAUGUACAAACGUAGACAUCCAAAUAUCUGCUAGAAUACAGAUUGAAAAUAUUUUAAAACAAAGUACGAUUCAUCACUGGCUGUUUAUCUUGUAUCUAAUUUUGGAAUGCAAGUUAAUUUAAGAAUAUAAACGACUUAAUUUCUUGGUUGUCUUAUAAUAUUAAAUAUAUUUUUUUUCCUGCCAAGCACAUCAUUCUGUUCUGAAAGUACGUCUACCAAACAGGCUGUUUUGGAAGUGACUUGCCUUAUCUCUUCCAUUACUGAUCUUUCAGUAUGGCCUGGAUAGGCUUUUAGGACUUCAGAAAUAGAAUCAAUGGAUAAUAUUAGUUCGCUCUAUUGUUUGUAAUUCUCCUAUUGAAGUUGGUGAUACAUUGCAUCGUUGCAUGAAAAACAAAAUGAACUCGUGUCAAAAAAAUGACUUUUCAAGUCGAGGGAAAAUCAUACUAUAAGGUUCACGGUGCAAGUCUGCAGAGUGGUUCUUGUGGUGAUCCUAGAUCUUGCUAAAACAUUGUGACUGAUGCUUUUGAGUGUGGUGGAAAUGUAAACUGAGGCACAACAUAUGCUGCACAUAAAUUAACCUUGUGGAUGUUAUGCCUUUCUGCUGUCCUUCAUCAGACACAAAAUUACAUGGAAUAUGCAUA
rnacentral:lncRNA from 1 species